GGUUAAGCGACUAAGCGUACACGGUGGAUGCCCUGGCAGUCAGAGGCGAUGAAGGACGUGCUAAUCUGCGAUAAGCGUCGGUAAGGUGAUAUGAACCGUUAUAACCGGCGAUUUCCGAAUGGGGAAACCCAGUGUGAUUCGUCACACUAUCAUUAACUGAAUCCAUAGGUUAAUGAGGCGAACCGGGGGAACUGAAACAUCUAAGUACCCCGAGGAAAAGAAAUCAACCGAGAUUCCCCCAGUAGCGGCGAGCGAACGGGGAGCAGCCCAGAGCCUGAAUCAGUGUGUGUGUUAGUGGAAGCGUCUGGAAAGGCGUGCGAUACAGGGUGACAGCCCCGUACACAAAAAUGCACAUACUGUGAGCUCGAUGAGUAGGGCGGGACACGUGGUAUCCUGUCUGAAUAUGGGGGGACCAUCCUCCAAGGCUAAAUACUCCUGACUGACCGAUAGUGAACCAGUACCGUGAGGGAAAGGCGAAAAGAACCCCGGCGAGGGGAGUGAAAAAGAACCUGAAACCGUGUACGUACAAGCAGUGGGAGCACGCUUAGGCGUGUGACUGCGUACCUUUUGUAUAAUGGGUCAGCGACUUAUAUUCUGUAGCAAGGUUAACCGAAUAGGGGAGCCGAAGGGAAACCGAGUCUUAACUGGGCGUUAAGUUGCAGGGUAUAGACCCGAAACCCGGUGAUCUAGCCAUGGGCAGGUUGAAGGUUGGGUAACACUAACUGGAGGACCGAACCGACUAAUGUUGAAAAAUUAGCGGAUGACUUGUGGCUGGGGGUGAAAGGCCAAUCAAACCGGGAGAUAGCUGGUUCUCCCCGAAAGCUAUUUAGGUAGCGCCUCGUGAAUUCAUCUCCGGGGGUAGAGCACUGUUUCGGCAAGGGGGUCAUCCCGACUUACCAACCCGAUGCAAACUGCGAAUACCGGAGAAUGUUAUCACGGGAGACACACGGCGGGUGCUAACGUCCGUCGUGAAGAGGGAAACAACCCAGACCGCCAGCUAAGGUCCCAAAGUCAUGGUUAAGUGGGAAACGAUGUGGGAAGGCCCAGACAGCCAGGAUGUUGGCUUAGAAGCAGCCAUCAUUUAAAGAAAGCGUAAUAGCUCACUGGUCGAGUCGGCCUGCGCGGAAGAUGUAACGGGGCUAAACCAUGCACCGAAGCUGCGGCAGCGACGCUUAUGCGUUGUUGGGUAGGGGAGCGUUCUGUAAGCCUGUGAAGGUGUGCUGUGAGGUAUGCUGGAGGUAUCAGAAGUGCGAAUGCUGACAUAAGUAACGAUAAAGCGGGUGAAAAGCCCGCUCGCCGGAAGACCAAGGGUUCCUGUCCAACGUUAAUCGGGGCAGGGUGAGUCGACCCCUAAGGCGAGGCCGAAAGGCGUAGUCGAUGGGAAACAGGUUAAUAUUCCUGUACUUGGUGUUACUGCGAAGGGGGGACGGAGAAGGCUAUGUUGGCCGGGCGACGGUUGUCCCGGUUUAAGCGUGUAGGCUGGUUUUCCAGGCAAAUCCGGAAAAUCAAGGCCGAGGCGUGAUGACGAGGCACUACGGUGCUGAAGCAACAAAUGCCCUGCUUCCAGGAAAAGCCUCUAAGCAUCAGGUAACAUCAAAUCGUACCCCAAACCGACACAGGUGGUCAGGUAGAGAAUACCAAGGCGCUUGAGAGAACUCGGGUGAAGGAACUAGGCAAAAUGGUGCCGUAACUUCGGGAGAAGGCACGCUGAUACGUAGGUGAAGCGACUUGCUCGUGGAGCUGAAAUCAGUCGAAGAUACCAGCUGGCUGCAACUGUUUAUUAAAAACACAGCACUGUGCAAACACGAAAGUGGACGUAUACGGUGUGACGCCUGCCCGGUGCCGGAAGGUUAAUUGAUGGGGUUAGCGCAAGCGAAGCUCUUGAUCGAAGCCCCGGUAAACGGCGGCCGUAACUAUAACGGUCCUAAGGUAGCGAAAUUCCUUGUCGGGUAAGUUCCGACCUGCACGAAUGGCGUAAUGAUGGCCAGGCUGUCUCCACCCGAGACUCAGUGAAAUUGAACUCGCUGUGAAGAUGCAGUGUACCCGCGGCAAGACGGAAAGACCCCGUGAACCUUUACUAUAGCUUGACACUGAACAUUGAGCCUUGAUGUGUAGGAUAGGUGGGAGGCUUUGAAGUGUGGACGCCAGUCUGCAUGGAGCCGACCUUGAAAUACCACCCUUUAAUGUUUGAUGUUCUAACGUGGACCCGUGAUCCGGGUUGCGGACAGUGUCUGGUGGGUAGUUUGACUGGGGCGGUCUCCUCCUAAAGAGUAACGGAGGAGCACGAAGGUUGGCUAAUCCUGGUCGGACAUCAGGAGGUUAGUGCAAUGGCAUAAGCCAGCUUGACUGCGAGCGUGACGGCGCGAGCAGGUGCGAAAGCAGGUCAUAGUGAUCCGGUGGUUCUGAAUGGAAGGGCCAUCGCUCAACGGAUAAAAGGUACUCCGGGGAUAACAGGCUGAUACCGCCCAAGAGUUCAUAUCGACGGCGGUGUUUGGCACCUCGAUGUCGGCUCAUCACAUCCUGGGGCUGAAGUAGGUCCCAAGGGUAUGGCUGUUCGCCAUUUAAAGUGGUACGCGAGCUGGGUUUAGAACGUCGUGAGACAGUUCGGUCCCUAUCUGCCGUGG
rnacentral:rRNA from 1 species